rnacentral:lncRNA from 1 species
GGGGCCGAGCCCUUCAUGUCUCGGGCUGUCCACACUCCAAGCGCGGUACGUGCGCCCAGGCCUCCAUCUUGCAUCUCAGUGUGAGCCUGGCGCUUGCGCACACAGCUUGCCUGCUAUGCUGAGGGGUGGGUGCAGCCGCUUGCCACGAGGAGGAGCUCUGGUCUGAAGCUCCUGGUGCGAGGUCUCUGCUCAGACCACCCUGUAAGCAAGUGAAACUCAACCAAGCACGAAGGAAAGAAAGGACAAGGGGACGGACACUAAGAAGGGGAUGUAUUGUCUGCGUGUGUUGCCUUCACACCUUUGAAUUCUAAAGGGAUGGCAGGGGCAGCUAACAGAGAGCAGAGAGGAGGCAUCCGGAAUCCCAUGUGGCACAUUUAUGUCAACUGCAUGUCAAUCAGAUGCAAGUGAAGACUAAGCAGUUCCAGCACGGGAACCUCUGAAAAUCAAGACCACAUCAUCCUGAUGUUUUGGCAUUUUGCCCAUUGCCUCAGCAUGUGCUUUUAAAGAGAGCUCUCUAUUGCCGUCUCAUGGUGAAUGAGUGAAUGGCUGGGAUUAGGAGACAAAACUGGCUACCACCACUAAGCAGAAAGAUUCCACAAAGGCAAAGGGGAAGCUUACAUGAAGCAGACCUGAGUUCCUGCUAUUACUUAUGUGCAACAUCAGAAAGAGAAUUCCAUGGUAAGUGUAGACAGUCUCUAAGGUUUGAGGCUCACCAUAUGAAGGAAUGUUUUCCUGGAAAGCUCUUCUUCUCCAGUCUGGCAUUCAUCCUUCUGAAACAUUUACCCUUCUGUCAGCUGGUCCUCUGGCCUAUUAAAACCAGAUCCCAGCUGGGAUGCCUUACACUGGUGACUUGGAGAACAAGAAAACAGUGCUACUUCUUCCUUCAUAACAAUAUAACUGAUGGGCUCAACAUUGUAAUCAGGUCAGUAAACUGCAUGUUUUACUGAUACUACUCGUCAAAUAGUUACACACUAGGUAAGGGGGAGUGAGGAAAUCCUUUUUUACUAACUAAAAAUGCUAUUUGACAACACAGAGAAAAAAACCAUUAUAAUAAUCUGGUUUUCAUUGGCCUC